AGAACCUCUACAAGGACUGAGCCG
rnacentral:siRNA from 1 species